AGCAGCCGCGGUAAUUCCAGCUCCAAUAGCGUAUAUUAAAGUUGUUGCAGUUAAAAGCUCGUAGUUGAAUUUCGGGAUUGGCGCAUCGGUCGUGCCCCACGGGGUAUGAACUGGUGCAGUCAAUUUCUCACCUUCUGGAGAACCGCGAUGUCCUUAAUUGGAUGCCGCGGGGAACCAGGACCUUUACUUUGAAAAAUUAGAGUGUUUAAAGCAGGCAUUUUUGCUUGAAUACAUUAGCAUGGAAUAAUAAAAUAGGACGGCAUGGUUCUAUUUUGUUGGUUUCUAGGACCACCGUAAUGAUUAAUAGGGAUAGUUGGGGGCAUUAGUAUUCAAUUGUCAGAGGUGAAAUUCUUGGAUUUAUUGAAGACUAACUACUGCGAAAGCAUUUGCCAAGGAUGUUUUCAUUAAUCAAGAACGAAAGUUAGGGAUCGAAGACGAUCAGAUACCGUCGUAGUCUUAACCACAAACUAUGACCGACUAGGAAUCAGACGAUGUUAAUUUUUAAUGUACUCGUUUGGCU
rnacentral:misc_RNA from 1 species